UACCAGCACCCCGAGUGGUCGGGACGAUUAUUGGGCCUAAAGCAUCCGUAGCCGGUUCUGCAAGUCCCCCGUUAAAUCCAGCUGCUCAACAGAUGGGCCGCGGAGGAUACUACAGAGCUAGGAGGCAGGAGAGGCAAGCGGUACUCAGUGGGUAGGGGUAAAAUCCGUUGAUCCAUUGAAGACCACCAGUGGCGAAGGCGGCUUGCCAGAAUGCGCUCGACGGUGAGGGAUGAAAGCUGGGGGAGCACACCGG
rnacentral:rRNA from 1 species